AAGUAUUCUCAUUUAGGAAGAUUUGAUAAUGGUGUCCUGGCAUUGUCGUUUUGAUGAAUAUUUAGUGCUAACAAUGGCAAAAGUCCACCUCUCCUAAAAGGUGGGUAGGUCAAUAGGGCUGGGUGAUAACCUUUCCAUCUUGACAUCUCUGUGUGUUUUCAUUAUUUCAGUAUAAUUAUCCAGUAUCUAUUCCAGAUAAUUAUAGUUACAUAACUCUGGUGGUUCAACCCUACAUAAUAAUUUUUUUUGUUUUGCUUAUUUGUUUCACUUAUACCAGCCAACUUUUUCUUUAUUUAAUGUUAUCCUUUCAGGACUCAUAGCUUUGAAUUUAUUUAGAACGGAACUAAAAGAAAAGAAACUCACACAACAUCCACAGCCCAGAAUUUCUAGAGAGUGGAAAGUGUCUGAAGUGCAUGGAAUCUGCCUUGAAGAAAAUGGAUUUUUGAUAUCAAUCUAAGAUCUAGAACCUGAGUUUAAAAGUCCUUCAUUUGUCUUAAAGUUAAUAGAGGAUUUUCAGGAAAUGGCUAUAGAAGCAGAGUGCCCAAAGAAUGCGAAUGCAACUGGCUUCAUCUUGAAAGCGACACUCUGAAGAAAUUACCCAUAAUUUCUCCCUCUUGGACAUGCAGAAUUAUCCUGUUCUUGUAUUUUUCUGGCCAGCUUCUCCAACUUUCCCUUUCUUGUUUGCAACUAAUUAAACUUUAUGGAUAAGAAUGCCUUCCCUUUGCUAUUAUCCAUGGAAUUUCUGUCCAACCUUCAGGCUUAAAAUUAUUCUGUAGUUGGCCUUCCUAUGAUCUUUGAGCCGGAAGUCUUCUCUCUGCUCUGAACUUCCACAUCUUGCUCAUUUCUCUUUAGUACUUUGCGCAUUAUAACAGGCCAAACUGUAAUUUGUGGACCUGUUUUAUAUUUUCUAUUAUGUUACAAGCUUCCCAGGAGAGAGUGUUUCCUAUUCAUUUUAUAUCUUCUCCCCUCUUAUAUCUUCUUCCACGUCUAAAGCAAUGUGUUUUUAACAUACAAGGCCAUGAAACGUAUGCUAAAUAAAUAAAUCACAAAUGCUGUAGUAGAAAGAACACUAGGUUUUCAGUCAGGUAAACAAGUUUUAGUUACCAUCCCAACACUUAUUCAUUAAGUGGUCUUGCACAAAUCAUUUCUGGACCUCAUUUUUUCUCAUCUAUAAAAGGAAGGUGGCUUAGUUACUUAAAGCUGCUAUAACAAUACCAUAGAUUAAUCUGUAUUUCUCACAUUUUUGGAGUCAGAAAGUCCAAGAUUAAACCAACAGAUCCGGUGCCUGGUAAGGGCACUCUUCCCGGCUUGCAAAUGGCCAUCUUCUCAUUAUAUCCACACAUGGCCAAGAGGAAAAUAAUGUUUCUUUUUAUAAGGGUACCAAUCCCAUUCAUGAGGGUCUCACCCUCAUAAUUUAAUUACCUGUCAAAUAGCCCCACCUCCUAAUGUAAUCACCAUGGGGGUUAAGAUUUCAAUAUAUGAGUUUUGGACAAACAUUCAGUCCAAAACAAUGGGUGUAGGACCAAAUAACAUCUCCUCUAGGUCUAAAUUUUAUGCUUCCCUAUAAAAUAUUUGCUAAGUGCAUCUUAUAAUUUGGGAUUUCUUUUGGUAACAAGACAACCAAAUUAUUUUACUAUUUACUUAUAGUUUACAAAUUAGCUAUACUCCAUAAGAAAUAAAACUAUGAAUAAUCUCCUUUUGAUAUUGUUUUCUAGUUGUGGAAUUAUUCAGGAAUCUUACAUCAUCAGUAGACAACUGACUUCAGACCUUAUCUUCAUCAAAUAAGUAGGAAAGUAGUUAAGCAAAGCAGUCUGUGAGGAAUUAGAAGAGAAGGAAAUCUACCCAUAUGCUGUAAGAUAUUUUAAUGAGUAACCGCAAAUGUACCUUAGGUUAAUUGAUUGGAUGGUGGAUAAGUUGAGGAAUAGACAGGAAAGUAUUAUAGGGCUGUGUUGUUAAGUUCCUUUUUCAAAAAUAGUUUCUGCUUGGCUCACCUCAAAAAUGAGAAAUAAAUCACAAGAAAGUUGAUUGAUUCUGCUAAGAGCCACAGACACAAAACAGGUGACAGACAUAUCUAAUCUAGCCUGCCAGAACAGCCUCCAUUCCCUUUUUAGGUAGAAAUUGUGUCUUUGAUUUCUGAUGAUCUAGAGGCCCAUCUCAUUUUCAGGUGGCCAGAGUACUACACAAAAUCACUGCAUGCAUUUGAUCUAGACUAGACAGUCUAUAAAUUAUGAGGCAGUAAAAUUCUCCUUCCCCUAAUAAUUCCCAAUUUGCCUAUUUUAAAUAGGAAAGCCAUAAAGCUCAUUGAAGAUGCCCUGGUUUGUUAGUUUUUCCAUAGCUGAAAAUUUUUACUUACAUGACAAUUUCUAUCCCUUCAAUAUUUUAUUCAUAAUAUUAGAGAGUAUAGACAAUCUUUUUAAUCAUGCUUUAAUAUCUGUGCUGUUUCUUCAAAAUCUUUGUGGUAUUGCAUGUUUUGUAUAAGAAAUGGAAUAAGAAAGACAAAAUAUAUUAAACAUUUGCAGAUCAUUAGAAGAUUUAAAACUAAAGAGAAUAAUUGCUAUUUCAGAGAAAAUGACAGAGAUAAAUGUAAAUGGUUUAUAAUAUUCUCUAGCUCAAUUGAAAAUAGCUUUUUUAUUAUUUCCUUUCCCCUACUAUUGUACAGAUGGGAUAUUAUUAUUGAGUUUCAUUUUUCAUUGUUAGCCUUGGUCUCAAACUAAAUGUUAGAGUUGUUCCUAUAGUUAUGAUAUUUCCUUCCAUUGAGAAGAGAAAAUGAGUUCUCAGUACAUGCCAGGCAUCAUAGUAGGUACCUGAAAUUUUAUUAUCUGAAAAUAUGAACUAUGAACCCAAAGUUGAAAACAAUCUCAAGUAUAUCAAAAUUUUUAAUAAUGUACCAAUGGCUAAUACAGUCUAAUAAGAGCAUAUAUCCUAUUAGUUUCUUUAAUUACCUAACUCUUACAAAUUAGAUGUUCUUCAUACAAAGCAGGAAGUCACACCAAAUUCAGCAUAAUGAAAGGAAAAAUAUAUAUGGGUAAAAGGGACAUAAUAAUCUAACCUAAAUUCAAUCCAUUUUUUUUAAAACUAGAGAUAUACCACUCUAAAUUUAAAAGGGAAAAGCAAUCUAUUAGGAUAGUUAUGAAGGAGUUUAAAAUUAUUGAAGGUUAAUAAACCUCAUAGGUAUAAGGCUUCUACAUAAAACACUUACUAAGAUUAUUAAACUGAAGAAAAGCCACUGUUGUCCAAAAUAUCUAGAUAAUUUAGCAGGCAAAAUUUUUUCUUCUUAGAGUCUUGGUUUAUUGCCUCUCUAACUUCACUCCAAAGUUUCAGUAUAAAAAUUUUAAAAUGUAAUGAUAAAAAUAUCACAAUUGUUUUUGUUCUUGGUAAGUCCAAUUUAAGAAUGCAUCCAC
rnacentral:lncRNA from 10 species